rnacentral:rRNA from 1 species
CUGCUCAGAGGUAAACAGGUGGGCCCUCGAAAUCCUGUGGCGGGAGGAUUCAGUCGAAAGGGGCGGGCGCCGAGAGCAGCGGUGUCAUACGAUCCCGUCCAAGGGACAAUCCGCAGCCGGGAGCCUGCRCCGGCCGACGCAUUUGUUUCCCGUCCGAAGGACGCCGCAACCGGUUGGGAGCGGCCUUAAGGGCGGCCGCUGGCAGGUAACUGACGGUUCUCAUGUUCCGUGAGCGUUAUAGCCGGGCCGUCUGGUUGGCUCGAGUM